ensembl:lncRNA
GGGUACCGGUACAGAGUCAAUGUGGAGGCUAUAUACAGGGGGUACCGGUACAGAGUCAAUGUGGAGGCUAUAUACAGGGGGUACCGGUACAGAGUCAAUGUGGAGGCUAUAUACAGGGGUACCGGUACAGAGUCAAUGUGGAGGCUAUAUAGAGGGGGUACCGGUACAGAGUCAAUGUGGAGGCUAUAUACAGGGGGUACCGGUACAGAGUCAAUGUGGAGGCUAUAUACUGGGGGUACCGGUACAGAGUCAAUGUGGAGGCUAUAUACAGGGUAUUACGGUACAGAGUCAAUGUGGAGGCUAUAUACAGGGGGUACCGGUACAGAGUCAAUGUGGAGGCUAUAUACAGGGGGUACUGAUACAGAGUCAAUGUGGAGUCUAUAUACAGGGGUACUGAUACAGAGUCAAUGUGGAGUCUAUAUACAGGGGGUACCGGUACAGAGUCAAUGUGGAGACUAUAUACAGGGGGUACCGGUACAGAGUCAAUGUGGAGACUAUAUACAGGGGGUACUGGUACAGAGUCAAUGUGGAGGAUAUAUACAGGGGUACCGGUACAGAGUCAAUGUGGAGGUUAUAUACAGGGGGUACCGGUACAGAGUCAAUGUGGAGACUAUAUACAGGGGGUACCGGUACAGAGUCAAUGUGGAGGAUAUAUACAGGGGGUACCGGUACAGAGUCAAUGUGGAGGAUAUAUACAGGGGGGUACCGGUACAGAGUCAAUGUGGAGACUAUAUACAGGGGGUACUGGUACAGAGUCAAUGUGGAGGCUGUAUACAGGGGGUACCGGUACAGAGUCAAUGUGGAGG